UAUAUUUGUGAGUCUCUAAGGUACCACAAGUCUUCCUUUUCUUUUUGUGAUUACAGACUAACACGGCUGCUACUCUGAAACUACAAAUAGCGUAGCUCUCAUUAGGCUGGACAGUACAUGUGGAAAAGUUUCUCCCUUUUCUGUAGGUUCAAGUCCCCUGGGCUUUGAGUGCAUGGCUAGGAAGCCUGCUCUAUGAUCUUGGAAGUUGAAUUUUUCCAACUGUUGCUUAGUAAGUGCUGUCAUGGAAGUAUUACCAUGUGUGCUACCUCAACCCCUUUGACAGAUGUUUAACUGAAAAAAUAGUUCACGUGUACAGAAUUCUCCCUGCUGCCUCAUCAGCAUUGAGCAAUGCAAUUUGGGGACAUCACUGGGAGCCUGGCUCUGCGUUAAAGAGCAUUUUGCACUUUUACAUUAAAGCAACCCCAGGAGAAUGGCUUUGAAGCAGAGAUUUUUGGUGCCCAUGGCUCCAUGAAGAGAGUGUGUGGCAUUAGUAGAAUCAUCACCAGGAGAAAGCAGGGUGUGAUGCGGGAAAGAGUCCCACGUAAAAAGGUAAGUGAAGUGUGAAAGGUAGAUCAAGCACUUCUAGGGUUAAGUGACAUUUUGUGAAUGUGACAGCAUGUAGCACUCCAGGAUAAGACCAUGAGCAUAUUUUUCAAAGAGGUUUUAGAUGGAUAAGUAUCUAUCCAGAACUAAGGCUUAUGUUUCAGAAGAGAAACCCAGCCUCAAACUGGAGAAGGCUAGGAAGAAACUUUUGUUGUGGGCAGGUUCUCUACCUUCCUCAAAGAGCUGGUGCUGGCCCCUAUAUUGGGCUUGAUGGAUCUACGUAAUGAUGCAAUUAAAUUCCACUCAAAGGAAUUAAUUACCUUUCCAAAACCAAUCCUGUCAUUGCUCUUUCCUGGAGUUCAUAACUGGCUAUUUUACAUCACUUUCUAAAGCGAGUAUUUCAAGGGAGAAAGGACAUUUAGAAGAAGGAGCACGUGCUCUUUAGGAUGGUACUUGAAUGUGGAGUUCAUUUGCAACAUGAAUACAUCCUAUUUCACCUUAAACUUUAGGAAAGCUAGUGUAUUGGUUAUAUCACCCUUGUAUAUAAGGUAGAAAUUUCUCUUUGAUACUACUGGAAUUAAACCGACCAUGCCCCAAGUUCUCUAGAGACACAAGUCCUGAAUUGCCAUCUUAAUAGGAAAAGGCUCAAGUACUGUUUUGUAUAAGGAGUUUCUAUUAGCCUUUUAUACAAGGUGGCUAUUAAAUACCCCCAACUCCCUUUUAGGCUGGAACCAGUUUCUAUAGGCCACAUCAUGUAUGUCUCUACUAGGGCUGUCAACUGAUUGUAAAAAUUGUGACUAAUUGCACUGUUAAAUAAGAAUACCAUUUAAAUUUGGGUGUCUUCUACAUUUUCAAAUAUUGAUUUCAAUUAUACUGAAUAAAGUGUAUAGGGCUCACUUUAUUUUUGGUCACACAUUUGCCCU